GACGAACGCUGGCGGCGUGCUUAACACAUGCAAGUCGAACGGAAAGGCCCUGCGUUUGUUGGGCUCACGAGUGGCGAAGGGGGGAGUAAAACGUGUGUAACCUGCCCUUGACUUUGUGAGAACUUCAGGAAACUGGGGCUAAUACCGGGUAUGAUCUCCUGCAGCGUGGGGGUGGAUGGAAAGUGUCGGCGGUGGGGGAUGGACUCGCGGCUUAUCAGCUUGUUGGUGGAGUAGUGACUGACAAAGGUUUUGACGGGUAGGCGGCAUGGGAGGGCGAACGGGCACCUUGGGCCUGCGGUACGGAGCAGAAUGCUACGGGAGGCAGCAGGGGAGAAUCUUGCACAACGGGCGGAAGCGAGAUGCAGAAGCGCUGCGUGCGGGAUAACGUGUUAUGGGUUAUAAACCGAUUUCGCAUGUGACGAAGAGUGAGUGACGGUACUGGGUAAAGAAGCAACGGCUAACUACGUG
rnacentral:rRNA from 1 species